GGGGGAUUGGGGUAGCCUGGCAUCCUUGUGCCCUGGGGGGGCAUAGACCUGAGUUCGAAUCUCAGAUCCCCCA
rnacentral:tRNA from 1 species